AAGUGCCACAACCUCUACUAACAAUAGAGGAGGUUUCAAGAUUUGUGGGCGACACCUGGCCAGCCAGCAGGACCCACACUAGGCUGCUCGAAGAAGAGGGGAUGUUUGACAGCGCCAGCCAGCAGGCAAGAGUGGCAACCAAGAGGAAAAUGCGCAGAUGCGCUCCCAAAGGAAGCAGAAUCCUGGCGCCCCCCAAAAGAAUGCCACU
rnacentral:lncRNA from 1 species